UAGAAAAUCAUGAAAAACAUGACAAAUAUAAAGGCAUGUCAUUAGUUUGUUCAUAUUUUAAUCCCUUUUAGCCACUCCUAGGGAAUGAAAGCCUGAUCCACCAACACAGACCAUAAGACAGACAUCAACACUCUGGGCAGUUGCCAAUGCAUUGCAGGGAGCACUGACAGAAUGAUCCACACUCAUUCUCACCCAGUCAAUAUUUAUACCAAACCUGCAUGUCUUCAAGGAUGCAGGAGGAAAUAAGAAGUACCCAGAGGAAAACCUGUCAGAGACACAGGGAGAACAUCUCAAUGUCACACUAGCAGUGUCUGCACCAUGAUUUGAAUACGGUCCCCUGGACCUAUGAAGGUGAGACACUAUCUACUUCUCUACUGUGUUGCCCUGUGCUGCCAAUGUAUUUGGCUUUGUCACCCUGAGUCUAUGAUGUGUCUGCCCCACUGGUUCAUCAGGAAUCCAUGUUGUAUCGAUCAACAUUUUGGCAGCAGCAGCAGUUGAAAGGACAUCAUUCAGCAGACUGUAAGAACAGGGAGUGUCAGAAGACUUCAGUUACACCUCGUGUUUUAAACAAGGUAGAGUGAAAUAUUGCAACCCAUUCGCUCAUUAAAAGGCAAUGUCAAAUACCAAACCAGGAGUACAGGAAAUGAAAGUUUGGAGCUGUUACUGAGGCAGACUCUCACAACGCUCCUCUAAUCGUGGAUAGGAGGCACAUCCCAGGGCCCUCUUUCUUUAUACCGAGGCUUAAUUUGGACUCCUUAAACGUAUGCAAGCCAGCUUGCAAACUGCACUUAUGAAAUUUC